rnacentral:lncRNA from 1 species
UCUUUCUAUUUUAUGUAACUAUUUACAAAAGACCUGAGUCCUAGAUGCUUCUGUAAAAAUUAUAGAGCCAGACAACAGAUCAACUUUGAUUUUUGUAUUAAUGAAAAGGUGGAUGAAAUAUCAUCAUCCUGAAUUUUAACUGCCAUUUAUGAACUAAAUAGUUCUUCAGCAAGUAAAUCUAUAUGUUGAAAAGCAGUAGUACCCACCACAACGAGAACACAUUUCUCUCUCUUCACAGAUAUUGAAAUAUGAUUAUAUGUGGUAUUAUAAAUUAAGAUGUUAUAGAUGUAUGAUAUGCUAUGGGGAAGGACUUCUUAAAGAGAAAAGUAAAAAGAGCAUUAUAGAUAAUUUAGAAAGAUUGUAAAUAUUCCUAUAGCUACAAAAUAUGAGUACACAUGACAUCUUUAAAUGUAACCCAUGUUAAACAUGAUUCAUGUUGUGUACAGAGGAAAGGAGUUUAUAUCUCAAUUUAAAAUAUCUUGGAUUUCAGAGAAGAACAGCAUCAGGGGACCAAAAGACUAUCUUUUGUUUCAUCAGGGUUUAAUACUGAGAAAGAAGAUGGAACAUACUCCUUCUCUACUCUCUUCCCCACCACUUACAAGCCCAACCACAUAUGUGAAGCUAACGGAAUUUUACGUUGCCAUUCUGAAUCCAGCAUGAUCUAGUAGAAGGAGCCACAUGCAAGAGAAGAGUAUUGAAGCAAUGGAGAAUCUGCAUGUCGAGUUCAUCGUGUAGCUGAAACAUGAAAUUCACAGAAGUAAUAAAAGCAACGAUUCAUGCUCCA